GAUGAAGAACGCAGCGAAAUGCGAUAAGUAAUGUGAAUUGCAGAAUUCAGUGAAUCAUCGAAUCUUUGAACGCACAUUGCGCCCCUUGGUAUUCCGAGGGGCAUGCCUGUUCGAGCGUCAUUAUAACCCCUCAAGCUCAGCUUGGUGUUGGGGCCUGCUGCACUGGCAGCCCUUAAAAUCAGUGGCGGCGCCAUCUGGCUCUAAGCGUAGUAAUUCUUCUCGCUAUGGAGUCCUGGUGGAUGCUUGCCAUCAACCCCCAAUUUUUCUAUGGUUGACCUCGGAUCAGGUUGGGAUACCCGCUGAACUUAAGCAUAUCAAUAAGCGGAGGA
rnacentral:misc_RNA from 1 species